UACGUAGGGAGCAAGCGUUGUCCGGAAUCAUUGGGCGUAAAGCGCGCGUAGGCGGCCCGGUAAGUCCGUUGUGAAAGUCAAAGGCUCAACCUUUGAAAGCCGAUGGAUACUGCCGGGCUAGAGUCCGGAAGAGGCGAGUGGAAUUCCUGGUGUAGCGGUGGAAUGCGCAGAUAUCAGGAGGAACACCCAUAGCGAAGGCAGCUCGCUGGGACGGUACUGACGCUGAGGCACGAAGGUCAGGGGAGCAAACGGG
rnacentral:rRNA from 1 species